GUAGUCUCGCACAGAUGCAUAUCAAUAAGCGGAGGAAAAGAAACUAACAAGGAUUCCCCUAGUAACGGCGAGUGAAGCGGGAAGAGCUCAAAUUUGAAAUCUUAAAGGGUUUCCCUUUACGAAUUGUAGUUUAAAGAAGUGUUUUCUGUUGAGGUUUUGGUAAAAGUUCUUUGGAAUAGGACAUCAUAGAGGGUGAGAAUCCCGUAUUUGACCUUUACUUUCAACUUUGUGAUACACUUUCAAAGAGUCGGAUUAGUUUGGGAAUGCAGUCCAAAAUGGGUGGUAAAUUUCAUCUAAAGCUAAAUAUUGGCGAGAGACCGAUAGCGAACAAGUACCGUGAGGGAAAGAUGAAAAGAACUUUGAAAAGAGAGUUAAACAGUACGUGAAAUUGUCAAAAGGGAAGCGUUUGACACCAGUGUUGUUUUUCUGAAAAUCAAUUAAAGAACUGUUUAUGCUAAGUUGUUUAGACUUUAUCAGCUAACUGUUUAGUUUUGAGCUUUUCUUUAAUGCACUUUUCAGUUAACAAGUCAACAUCGAUUUCUUUUGCUGUAAAAAAGCUUGAGGAAGGUGGCUUGAGAUUCGUCUUAAGUGUUUAUAGCCUCUUGCCUAUGCAGUCGGAGAGAUUGAGGUCUGCAGCGUAGAUCCUUCGGGGCUAAAUGCAUUUGUGCUAAGUUAUAGCAUUUUCAUAGACAACUUGUUGACUAUGAUUUGUCUUGUAGCUUACUCGCUUAUGUUAUUUUACCUACGCUUAGGAUGUUGAUCUGUAGUGCGUGCGC
rnacentral:rRNA from 1 species